UGGGGAAUUUUGGACAAUGGGCGAAANCCUGAUCCAGCAAUGCCGCGUGUGUGAAGAAGGCCUUCGGGUUGUAAAGCACUUUUGUCCGGAAAGAAAUCCUUGGCUCUAAUACAGUCGGGGGAUGACGGUACCGGAAGAAUAAGCACCGGCUAACUACGUGCCAGCAGCCGCGGUAAUACGUAGGGUGCAAGCGUUAAUCGGAAUUACUGGGCGUAAAGCGUGCGCAGGCGGUUUGCUAAGACCGAUGUGAAAUCCCCGGGCUCAACCUGGGAACUGCAUUGGUGACUGGCAGGCUAGAGUAUGGCAGAGGGGGGUUAGAAUUCCACGUGUAGCAGUGAAAUGCGUAGAGAUGUGGAGGAAUACCGAUGGCGAAGGCAGCCCCCCUGGGCCAAUACUGACGCUCAUGCACGAAAGCGUGGGGAGCAAAACAGGAUUNGAUACCCCUGGUAGUCCACGCCCUAAAACGAUGUCAACUAGUUGUUGGGGAUUCAUUUCCUUAGUAACGUAGCUAACGCGUGAAGUUGACCGCC
rnacentral:rRNA from 1 species